AGUUAAGCCCCUCCUCAACAAUUACCGCCAAAUUUGAAUACGACAUUGUUAUUGGUGUAAUUUUUGAAGCCACAAUCACACUUGUAAAGCGAAUUGGCCGAAUUGGGUAAUCUGUCAUCUUGCCUAUUGCGUUUCUGCCGGUUUUUACGUUUUUACAUCUUUACUUGCGUCAAUUUGCCAUUAAUCUCCUUUAUUCACACAAAAUAGUCUUUAUAAAGACUCGUCGGUGUAUUCUAAAGAUAGUCAGGGUUAUAUUAUUCGCGAUCAAGAAAAGUUGUACGCAAACAUGAAUGUCGCCGGUGCUGCUUUCUCUCCACCGAAAAAACGUUUUGCCAAGCACUUUUCAGUUGAAGACAAAACUGGCAUUUUAAAUAUCUUCAAGGCAUAUUCGGAAGACAACCCGGAGGUAUCUAAAACGGAUAAAGUUGAGUUUACGGCUAAAGCAGCAGGUGUAAGCAUUCCGAGACAUUGG